rnacentral:rRNA from 1 species
UCUUGCGCAAUGGCCGAAAGGCUGACGCAGCGACGCCGCGUGUGGGAUGACGCCUUUCGGGGUGUAAACCACUGUUGCCCGGGACGAAUUGCUCUUUUCGAGGAGCUUGACGGUACCGGGUGAGGAAGCACCGGCUAACUCCGUGCCAGCAGCCGCGGUAAUUCGGAGGGUGCGAGCGUUGUCCGGAAUCACUGGGCGUAAAGGGCGCGUAGGCGGUCGAGGAAGUCCGUGGUGAAAGCUCGUGGCUCAACUGCGAGUCGGCCAAGGAUACUCCUGGACUGGAGCACUGUAGAGGCAGGUGGAAUUCCGGGUGUAGCGGUGGAAUGCGUAGAGAUCCGGAAGAACACCGGUGGCGAAGGCGGCCUGCUGGGCAGUAGCUGACGCUGAGGCGCGACAGCGUGGGGAGCAAACAGG